rnacentral:rRNA from 1 species
GUCUACAGUCAUUCUACCCUGAACAUGCCCAAUCUCAUCUGAUCUCAGAAGCUAAGCAGGGUCAGGCCUGGCUAGUCCUUGGAUUGGAGACCGCCUGGGAAUACCGGGUGCUAUAGGCU